CUCCCAAACCCCUGUGAACAUACCAAUUGUUGCCUCGGCGGAUCAGCCCGCUCCCGGUAAAACGGGACGGCCCGCCAGAGGACCCCUAAACUCUGUUUCUAUAUGUAACUUCUGAGUAAAACCAUAAAUAAAUCAAAACUUUCAACAACGGAUCUCUUGGUUCUGGCAUCGAUGAAGAACGCAGCAAAAUGCGAUAAGUAAUGUGAAUUGCAGAAUUCAGUGAAUCAUCGAAUCUUUGAACGCACAUUGCGCCCGCCAGUAUUCUGGCGGGCAUGCCUGUUCGAGCGUCAUUUCAACCCUCAAGCCCCCGGGUUUGGUGUUGGGGAUCGGCGAGCCCUUGCGGCAAGCCGGCCCCGAAAUCUAGUGGCGGUCUCGCUGCAGCUUCCAUUGCGUAGUAGUAAAACCCUCGCAACUGGUACGCGGCGCGGCCAAGCCGUUAAACCCCCAACUUCUGAAUGUUGACCUCGGAUCAGGUAGGAAUACCCGCUGAACUUAAGCAUAUCAA
rnacentral:rRNA from 1 species